UACGGAGGGUGCAAACGUUAAUCGGAAUUACUGGGCGUAAAGCGCACGUAGGCGGUCCGUUAAGUGGGGUGUGAAAGCCCUGGGCUCAACCUGGGAAUUGCAUUCCAAACUGACGGGCUAGAGUGUGGUAGAGGGGGGUAGAAUUCCCUGUGUAGCGGUGAAAUGCGUAGAUAUAGGGAGGAAUACCUGUGGCGAAGGCGGCCCCCUGGACCAACACUGACGCUGAGGUGCGAAAGCGUGGGGAGCAAACAGG
rnacentral:rRNA from 1 species